rfam:Pontibacillus litoralis JSM 072002 contig1, whole genome shotgun sequence.
UGGGCUAUAGCCAAGCGGUAAGGCAGCGGUUUUUGGUACCGUUAUUCGCUGGUUCGAAUCCAGCUAGCCCAG